AUGGAGUUUUAAUUUUUUUGGUUCUCCUUAUCAGCCAGCUUCUCAGGGUUGGUGAUCCCCAUCCCACCCAGUCUUGGGGGAAGUGCUAGCAUAUCCCUCUCCUCCUCCCCCAAAAAGCAUGAGAUUUCACUAGCGCCGGCAAGAAUACAUUCUUGACGGCAUUUUCCAGUGGUCGGAGGAGUGGACUGAUGCCGGGAUGGUGCGCAUCAGGAACUACUACUACUACUAUUAUUACUACUAAGAUUGCUACUACUAUUAUUACUACUAUUUCCACUACUGCUACUACAUUUGCCACGUAGUUUGUUUUUUCUUUGGGUGUUUUGUUUGGAUUGUUGUUUACUGAUUGGGUAUUAAAUUAGUAGUUAUCCGUGCCAUCUUGUGAUGUCAUAUUAGCCAACCAUCUGACCAUCUUCAUGAAAAUUCAUCAGCUACAGUUUUGGUUGGAGACAUCACAGUUUUUGGAUGGGGCGCGUGUCUCCAUCCAAGUAUGAAAUCCAGCAGGUAAGACCCAGACAUCAGGCAGUGCCGUUACAAUGGCAAAACUCCCGACCGAGACAACUGAACUGAACUGAACUGUGUGCAGAUCUUUGAAGAAUUUUCUUGCAUCUACAAUCUGUAGUGUUGGGAGUGGUGAACUGGUGAAGUCAGCGGCUUUCUACAAAGGGAAAGAGUUUGCAUUAAGGAAGAAAAUUGGUGAAGUGAAAAUGAAAGAAACAGCUCAAAAGUCAAAUGAAGAAAGAAGGGGAACAUCACUCGGUAAUGACUUCAAACCAGGGCUGCACAACAUUUUGGCCAGCUGGACCACAUUACUAAACUAACAAGUACUAUAUAUUUCAAUAUAUAAGGUGACCCUUGAACCUCAAAAUUACAAGUCCGAGUUUAGAAGUUGUCUCAUGUGGCAGAUAUAAAAUUUUAACCACUACAUUCUUUAGUCAUGGGGUCCAUGAGGGGUGAUGGAGAACAUUGCCAAAUACUCACUUAAGGGGGUACGCGACACCUGGGGUGUGUUUUUUGGUCAAAAUAUAGCAUUUUGCAAAACUGGGUUAAAAACGUUCUUAUACCAUCUUGAAAUAAUCCCCGAGCAAUGUUUUCCUCGUAGCACAAAUCUUAAAUGUCUGGCGCGGGUUUAAUUGGACCAAGUUAAAGGUUAAAUUUUGUAUUUUUUAAUCGCAGAAAAUCUAAAAUCAAUCAGAUUUACGUGAAAAGUGCAGGGAAUGUUGAUUGUACAAGUAGCUAGGGACCUAUGAUUAGAUAUUGUUGAUAGGGUAAAGGAGCUAGGAGUAUUAAGAGGAAAAAGUGACAAAAAAACACGAUUUUACGUGACAUUCGAUGAACAUAAUAAAAGAAAUACCAUUACGUCUUUCUAUAUGGGCAACUUUCAGAAUAUUUUCCAUAGGGCUCUAGGCAUACCUAAAGACUAUUCACAUCCAAAAAAUGAAAGUGAUUGGCUAUUUAUUAAUGGUGCUGUGUAAUUUUAAGUGUCGCUACACAUGUAUAUGUAUGAGUAUACACAUAAGUAUACAUACAUUGUUCUGGCUCAUACAAAAUGUAGGCAACAUAGAUGCCUACUUAGUUUCAUCGCAAUACCCGAUAGUUUAGUUAGUUGACUUCAGGUGUCCCGUACCCCCUUAAUCUUUUAGUUUCCUGAAAUAUUUCUAUAACCUAUUUUCUGUAUUGUGGUAUAUUUAAAUUUGAAUAUUUCCAUAGAUACAGCUGUGAGGACAGACAAAAGUGAAUAUAUAACUAGACAACAAAAAUGGUGGAUUCUGAUUGCCAGUCAUAAAUGAGUACAAAUUUUCGUCGCUUAGAUUAUUUUGAAUGUUCAACUUGCCACACUAUAAUGCACACCUCUGACUCACGUGCUGCGACUGUUCAUAUCACCAUCACCUAAUAAAUUACUGACAGAAAAACAGUCACUGCACUGGAGCUUUCUUAAUUCUGGCUAUAGAUAGUUUGCAUGGAUUUUCCCGACAGAUGACAUUCAUGUCUUUGGACGUCAAGCAAUCAAUUGUUUGUACAUUGCAGGCGGGCAUUUUCAUAUAUUUACAUGAAAUUUAAUGAUAUAAAGUGACAUGUAACCUCAGCCUACAUCCCUAGUGCCUUGUCAGUGAAUGAUGAAGAAAUACUCGGUGAAAUGCUGGAAAAGAAAUGUAGACUUUCACUCUGCCAGUGGACAGAGGUCUGCAUCCUUGUCUAGCUGUUGUGGCUUUUACAGUAUAUUACAUUACCUCCAAGGAUUUAUGAGUGUUUGUGAGCUGCUCGUGUGUGUUCACAUGACAAAAAGUCAAGCAAGUUGAACUCUUCACAGGCUUAUAUUUCUCUCAGUUGUUAGUAUCAUAGCUUGUGGGUGUUGAUGUUCAUGCAAAUAUAUACAAAAUAUGCAUUUAUUUCUCAGUUGAAUUUAUUAUAGCUAUGAGGAGUUGACAUUGACACUAUAUGAGGGAAUUCAUUUUUAUUUAUUUCUCAGUUGAAUGUAUCACAGCUUUCAGGGGUCAACAUUAACACUAAGUGUAUACAGAUUUUAUAUUUCUUUCUUUCUAAGUUGAAUGUACAAAAACAGGGGGGGGGGUCGUCAUUUCCACAUUACUAUGAAUAUAGUUCUUUGUUAAUUCUUCUUCUUCUUCUUCUUCUUCUUCUUCUGCCCCUUCAUUUAUAGUCCAUCUCCCAUUCUUGGGACCAUACUUGCAAUAAUCCUUCCUCUAUUUCUAUCACUUCAAAGUCUUGUUGCACUGCUCCCCAACAUGUUCUCUUUGGUCUUCCAACUGGUAUCCUGUCAGGUACCUCCACCCCAACCAUCCUCAGCACUCCACCCUCUCUCUCUUCUCACAUGUCCAAACCACUACAACCUUCUCUGUCUCACUCUCCUCUGUAUCUCUUUCACACCAUAUCUCUUAGCCACUUCCUCACUGAACAGCCUGACCUGCCACCUCACUCCAGCCAUAUACCUCAGCAUCCUUGAAUUACAUCAUCUUAUGAUACCCUUUACUCUUCCAGUCAUUACCCAUGUUUCAACACCAUAUAACUAAGUGAUCUAAUACACGUUUCAUACACACCACCUCUACUCUUCAGUGGGAUACUUUGGUUCACUAACAAGCUUGCUAUCUCUCUCCAUUUUUUCCAUGCCGCUGCCAACCUUGCUCUCACCACUCUCCACUCCAGUCUCACAGUCCAACACAUCUCCAUGGUAACAAGACUCAUGUAUGUACUUCCUCUAUUCUCCCUCCAUCAUCAUUUCUUUUCCAACCUGUUAUAUCCUCCCUUUCUGCAAGCUGGACACUGAAAAUCCUGUACCCCAUUUACACUUAUUAGUCCUGAACAUCUUUGGUGACACCAUUUGUUGCACUCUAUCCAGAAAAUUGAAUUUACUCCCACUCCCACAACAUCCACAAGGCCAUCUUCCUGACUGUAUACUGUGAUUAGUGCCCUUUCCAGUUACCAUUAUUUUGUUUUCUCCAAGUUUACUUUCAAUCUUCUUGUUUCCAUUCCUUAUCUUCAUCUCCCAAAUGCUUCCAUUACUCCUGGUCUGAUUCUACCAUCAAUUCUAGAUCAUCUGCAUAUACCAACUCCCAUGGAACUCCCUUUCUGGCCUCUCUAGUUGCCUUGUCCAUUACUAUGAUGAACAAUAGCAGGCGAAAUACAGAGCCUUGAUGCACACCCACACUCCUAUACCAAAUUCUUAAUGUUCCCGCUGCUGUCUUUAUGUGUGGCUUUGUUCCUACAUACAGGGCCAUAAUUGCUACCACCAUUCUCUCAGGUACCCCCUUUAUCCUCAAGGCACUCUGUUACCUCCCUUGGUACUUGGUCAAAAGCAUUCUCUUGAUCUGCAAAAAAUUGAUAGCUUCUUUCCUUUUGGCUGUAUUUUUCCUGUAGUUGCCUCAUAUUCAUAGUUCUUUGCUAAUUCAGUGCAUAUUUACAGAGGUGUCUGGGCUUUGCUAAGAUGGGCAGGAGUGCGUGCAAGCAACUGUCCAGAGUGAACCAGCUAGGCAUCUGACUUGACUGGAUUUUAUCAUAACCGGGAGAAGUUGACAUUUACACAAUAUACAGAAUUUUUAUUUAUUUGAGUUGACUAUUACAGUGAACCCUCACUUUAAUGACCCAAUUGAGAAGGGGAUGACUAUAUCUGAGGGAUCCAACCUUUUGUAUUUAACACACUUUGUUUGCUAUAUAAGCUAAAAAUUGACACAAUAAUAUGCAACAGUUAUAUUUAUUAUAUGUUUCCUAACUAAUUCAAUGUUUGUUUACCAAGGUGAUGUCAGGGUUGUGCUGAGGCAAACAGGAGAGAAAGAAGAAGAGGGACACAGCCACUUGAUGGGAGAGUAAGCCAGGCUUUCCAAAGGAAUCACCGAGGCAACUGACUGAUGGAACACUUCUCCUACAAGACUGUACAGGUGGCAAGAAAAGGAUCUUACACCUAUGGGUUGAUUGACUAGGAUUAGUGAAAUCUGCUAAGCGUUUCAGAGGCCGUGAGGAAUCGUUUUUCGCAAAUGUCUUCUAAACAAACUGUUGUAUUGGUUUGGUAUUUUGGCACAGCUUCUUUAACACUGUAAUGCCCCGACGAGCUUCUUUUCUAAAUCCUUCCUAUUUCUCAACACGGCCUCUGCGUGUAUCGAAAUAACACGAGAAAUUAAUCAAGAUCAGGGUAUUCGCCGGCUGCCUGGGAUUGAACCCGCGACCAGCGUGACGGGAGAGCCACUCCUUACCGAGUCGGCCAAAGAGGUACCCCACUGGCUAAGUGGGUUAUGGGAGGCUCGUUCAUCAGGCCGUCGCCGCACUACACGACCCUGCCCUAAGUUUUGGCAAUAUAGUGCAUAGCCAAAGGUGGUUAAUUAAGGCAUUUACUCUUGACCCUGAUGGGCGAAGCCUGGCAUGGCCAUCUAGACGUAUGAACGAGGGAAGUGUGAUGUUGCUGUGAUGUCUAUACCCACCCACUACCUCCACUCCUGCCUUACCCUUCCUCCACUUCUCCUUCCCCCCUCUCUCUCUAUCACAUGCAUUAUGCAUGUGUAAUUCAGCCAUGCACAUGUUACUUUUCUAUAGUGGCAGAUAAUUCAAAAGUAUAUACGGAGUAUGGUAGGGUGGUUUAUGCUGACAACCGUGAUAACUGUUCUAGCAUGGCUGGCCAUUUCUCAAGUACUAUAGUUAUGAUCUUUGUGGUGGAAUUAUAUAUCAAUGAAAACUUUUUGGCCUCCAUUUCCAGAGGCUAUGUUGGAAGUCUGUUGGGAUAGGGCAGCUGAGGCAUGGUCACUUACAGGAGGUUGGGUAGAGGUCAGAAAGGGGUAAGGGUGGGACACCUUAAAGCGACCGACCAUGCUGGAACAGGAAUCAUGGUUGUUAGUAUAAACCACCCUACCAUACUUGGCAUAUACUUUCAAAUUAUCUGUCACUAUAGAAAAGUAACAUGUGCAUGGCUGAAUUCUAUCUAUCUAUCUAUAUCUUCGAUGCCUUGCUUCUUUGCAGAAACUUCCCUCCAGGGGGUGGCCGCGGCAGAAGUGUCUCUAUCUCUCCCUGUUCUGGCACUCCCUUGCAACACAUUCAAUCCUGCUACUUCCAACUCUCUCGCUCCAAUACUCACUCACCCUUUUGAUCCACCUCACAGGUGGUCUUCCCCUGACCCCCCCUCCCUCAAUCCUUCCCUCAUACACUCUUCACGAAUUCAUUCUCCCCCAUUCUCAUCACAUCUCCAAACCAUCUCAGUGCACCAUGCUUCACCCAGUCCACCACUCCACACUCCACUCCUUUCACUGUCACACCCAUACCAAACCGCUCAUACACGCUUUCAUUACUUUCUCCACCCCAUCCGGACACACCACAUGCACCUCUUAUAUAACUCAUUUUCACUGCACGUAUUCUCGAUUGCUGUGCUGCAUUCCAUGUCCAUGUCUCUGACGCAUAUGACAGAGUUGGCAGGAUAAUACUAUUCCUUAUUCUCCUCUUUAUCUCCAUGCUCACGUUUCUUCCUUUCAUAAAUCUCUCCAAUGCACCCUUUCACUGCUCUUUCCCCCACCUCACCUUCCAUACUGCCAUGCUUACAAAAAACAGUCCCUAAAUAUUUAAAUCAGUCACCUCCUCCAUUCUCUCCUCCCCUAACCUUAUCCUACACUUUGUUGUACCCCCUGCUCUAACUCUGUAUUGCUUUGCAAAAUCAAUGACCUGUUCUCUCGCCCUCUCAAAUACCAUAACCUUACUCUUUCCAGCAUUCACUAUCAGCUUUCUCCUCUUACACACACUGUUAAACUCAUCCACUACCCUCUGCAGUGUCCCCUCAUUCUCUGCCAACAACACUGUAUCAUCUGUAAACAGGCCCACAACCAGUGACUCCUCCAUACCACUUACUUUCAGCCUUGGACCAAGCUCCCCCACUCUGGCUUUCAUUUCUCUCAUACAACCAUCCAUGUACACCUUAAAAAGCCAUGGUGACAUCACACAUCCCUGUCUCACACCCACACCAACACCAAAACUCUCACUCAACUCACCCUUCACGCCUACAGAGGCACUUGCAUCCUUAUAGAAGGAUCGGAUUCCCUCCAGCAAAUGCCCUCCCACAACCCCUUCCUGUCAACCCUGUCAUAUACCUUCUCCAGAUCCAUGAAUGCAGCAAACAGCUUCCUAUCCUUCUCUAUGAAUUUUUCAACUAACAUUUUGAGUGCAAAUAUUUGGUCUACACAACCCCUCCCUUUCCUCAAACCCUCUUGUUCAUUGCCUACACUUUUUUCAGUUAUUUUCUUCAUCAUCUCAUUUAAAACCCUUCCAUACACUUUUCCUGCCACACUGAGUAGACUUACUCCCCUGUAACUAUUAAAAUCACCUCUGCUCACUUUCCCUUUGUACAGCAGCACAACAAUAGCCUUUUUCCAAUCCUCUGGCACCUCACUCCGUUCCCAUGGUAGGUUACAUAUCCAUAAUAUCCAUUCCAUAACUACACCUCCUCCUUACUUCAACACUUAUGCUGUUAUGCCAUCAGCUCCACUCUGUUUACUUUCCCUAACCAAUUUCUUUACCAACAUCUUACUCUCCCUGUAUUUUCUCUCCCAUCUCCCUCUCACUUCCUCUGUCACAUUUCUCUAACAUUUUCUUAUAGUUCCUUCUUUUCUCAACUGCCUCUUUUGUCUCAUCCGUCCACCACGCACUCCUUUCUUUCCUUUUCCAUACGACCUAUACCCGACUACUUCCUCAGUUGCCCUGACCACUGAACUUUUAAAAUCCUCAUAAACCUCCUUCACUGUGUUCUAUCUGUGCUCUUGCUCUUCCAAGUAUUUCCUCCACUUUACUCCUUUACAUCUCCCUCUGGCCACUGUCCUGCAAUUUCUCACUUGCUAGUUCCUUCUUCCCAUUCCCUCUGAAUUCCCAUUACCUAUGUAUAAUGAAUGUGAGAGAGAGAGGAAGGGUAAAGCAGGAGUGAAGGUAGUGGGUGGGUAUAAACGUCAUGCUUCCCUUGGCCACAUGUCUUACGACUUCCCUUGCUUUAUGUAGAUCCUUGUCUGUUUGCCUUACUGCUUGUUUGGUCGAGGCCGGGUUUACACCCUUGAGUUAUGCGCCAUUGCAGGAGCCGGACCAUCACCCAGCCAUAUGUCUAGAUGGCCAUGCCAGGCUACCCUAUCAGGGUCAAGAGUAAAUGCCUUAAUUAACCACCUUUGGCUAUGCACUAUAUUACCAGAAAAUUAGGGCAAGGUGUCAAUAAAGCUGUGCCAAAAUACCAUACUGGUACAACAGUUUGUUUAGAUGAUGUCUGGGAAAAAUGAUGCCUCAUGGCCUCUGAAACACUUAGUAGAUAUGAGGUUAUUGGUUGGUCUACCAAUGUGACAAACUUUACCACUGGUAUCACGUAACCAACACAACACCAGAUCUUAUAGAUUUCUCUUAUUCUAUUCAAUUGACCCAUGGGUGUUUGAUACACCAGGUCCUGUGGGAGGGGACAACUGGGUAUGGGUAGGUCAUUUGCAUUGCUUGGGAUGGACAGGGCAGACUUAUUACAAGGAGAGAAAGCCAGGCUGGAGUAGGAAGGAAUUAUUCAGGGAGUGAGUUUCACUGAGUAAAAAUCAACAGCUAAUUACAAAGCUGGUAAAAAAAAAAAAAAAAAAAAACUUAAAAA